rnacentral:lncRNA from 1 species
CAGAAAGAAGACAAUUGCAGAUUUGCCUUUUAAUGAACGUUUAUUGGCAGAUGCUUCAGUUUCAAUGUUUAUACUGAGCCAGUUGGAGAAAUGGACAGAAUCAAUAAGGAGAACGGGGAACUUAGUGCGUCAGGGGAGAGUUCAGAGAGCAUAGAAGUGAAAACGACACUAAUCCAAAGUGAGACAAAUGGGGACCUGAAAGCACAUGAGGAUCCAGUGGUGCUUCUGAAAGAUCAACUAACUCAGCUGGGUACUAUAAGCCAGCGGACACCAGAACAAAGAGACCAAGAGCUUACCCAACUUCUGCUUCUGUUCAUCCAGGUCUCAGAGAGCAGCAGUGUCCUUGAUGAUCUGGAUCUCCAGGGCUUGGCGCUGCAGGUUGGAGAAGCUCUUGUCUGUCACAUACAGCAGAGAGUGGCAGAAAAGCCUGCAGGUACCCAAAAAUAACAUUUGCAAA